CGUGGGUAACCUGCCCAAGAGAUCGGGAUAACACCUGGAAACAGAUGCUAAUACCGGAUAACAACAGAUGAUGCCUAUCAACUGUUUAAAAGAUGGUUCUGCUAUCACUCUUGGAUGGACCUGCGGUGCAUUAGCUAGUUGGUAGGGUAACGGCCUACCAAGGCGACGAUGCAUAGCCGAGUUGAGAGACUGAUCGGCCACAUUGGGACUGAGACACGGCCCAAACUCCUACGGGAGGCAGCAGCC
rnacentral:rRNA from 1 species